GACGAACGCUGGCGGCGUGCCUAAUACAUGCAAGUAGAACGCUGAAGGAGGAGUUGCUUCUCUGGAUGAGUUGCGAACGGGUGAGUAACGCGUAGGUAACCUGCCUGGUAGCGGGGGAUAACUAUUGGAAACGAUAGCUAAUACCGCAUAAUAGUAGAUGUUGCAUGACAUUUGCUUAAAAGGUGCAAUUGCAUCACUACCAGAUGGACCUGCGUUGUAUUAGCUAGUUGGUGGGGUAACGGCUCACCAAGGCGACGAUACAUAGCCGACCUGAGAGGGUGAUCGGCCACACUGGGACUGAGACACGGCCCAGACUCCUACGGGAGGCAGCAGUAGGGAAU
rnacentral:rRNA from 1 species